GUGGGGAAUUUUGCGCAAUGGGGGAAACCCUGACGCAGCGACGCCGCGUGGGCGAUGAAGGUCCUCGGACCGUAAAGCCCUGUCGAGAGGGACGAACCGUGUGAGCUCUAACAUAGCUCAUACCUGACGGUACCUCUGGAGGAAGCCCCGGCCAACUCUGUGCCAGCAGCCGCGGUAAUACAGGGGGGGCAAGCGUUAUUCGGAAUUAUUGGGCGUAAAGGGCGUGUAGGCGGCCUAGUAUGUCUUCUGUGAAAGCCCUCGGCUCAACCGAGGAACUGCAGGAGAAACUGCAAGGCUCGAGUCCGGGAGAGGAAAGCGGAAUUCCCAGUGUAGCGGUGAAAUGCGUAGAUAUUGGGAGGAACACCAGUGGCGAAGGCGGCUUUCUGGACCGGUACUGACGCUGAGACGCGAAAGCCAGGGGAGCAAACGGGAUUAGAAACCCGUGUAGUCC
rnacentral:rRNA from 1 species